AUGCAAGUCGAGCGGUAGCACAGAGAGCUUGCUCUCGGGUGACGAGCGGCGGACGGGUGAGUAAUGUCUGGGAAACUGCCUGAUGGAGGGGGAUAACUACUGGAAACGGUAGCUAAUACCGCAUAACGUCGCAAGACCAAAGUGGGGGACCUUCGGGCCUCAUGCCAUCAGAUGUGCCCAGAUGGGAUUAGCUGGUAGGUGGGGUAACGGCUCACCUAGGCGACGAUCCCUAGCUGGUCUGAGAGGAUGACCAGCCACACUGGAACUGAGACACGGUCCAGACUCCUACGGGAGGCAGCAGUGGGGAAUAUUGCACAAUGGGCGCAAGCCUGAUGCAGCCAUGCCGCGUGUGUGAAGAAGGCCUUCGGGUUGUAAAGCACUUUCAGCGGGGAGGAAGGCGGUGAGGUUAAUAACCUCAUCGAUUGACGUUACCCGCAGAAGAAGCACCGGCUAACUCCGUGCCAGCAGCCGCGGUAAUACGGAGGGUGCAAGCGUUAAUCGGAAUUACUGGGCGUAAAGCGCACGCAGGCGGUCUGUCAAGUCGGAUGUGAAAUCCCCGGGCUCAACCUGGGAACUGCAUUCGAAACUGGCAGGCUAGAGUCUUGUAGAGGGGGGUAGAAUUCCAGGUGUAGCGGUGAAAUGCGUAGAGAUCUGGAGGAAUACCGGUGGCGAAGGCGGCCCCCUGGACAAAGACUGACGCUCAGGUGCGAAAGCGUGGGGAGCAAACAGGAUUAGAUACCCUGGUAGUCCACGCUGUAAACGAUGUCGAUUUGGAGGUUGUGCCCUUGAGGCGUGGCUUCCGGAGCUAACGCGUUAAAUCGACCGCCUGGGGAGUACGGCCGCAAGGUUAAAACUCAAAUGAAUUGACGGGGGCCCGCACAAGCGGUGGAGCAUGUGGUUUAAUUCGAUGCAACGCGAAGAACCUUACCUGGUCUUGACAUCCACAGAACUUUCCAGAGAUGGAUUGGUGCCUUCGGGAACUGUGAGACAGGUGCUGCAUGGCUGUCGUCAGCUCGUGUUGUGAAAUGUUGGGUUAAGUCCCGCAACGAGCGCAACCCUUAUCCUUUGUUGCCAGCGGUUAGGCCGGGAACUCAAAGGAGACUGCCAGUGAUAAACUGGAGGAAGGUGGGGAUGACGUCAAGUCAUCAUGGCCCUUACGACCAGGGCUACACACGUGCUACAAUGGCAUAUACAAAGAGAAGCGACCUCGCGAGAGCAAGCGGACCUCAUAAAGUAUGUCGUAGUCCGGAUUGGAGUCUGCAACUCGACUCCAUGAAGUCGGAAUCGCUAGUAAUCGUAGAUCAGAAUGCUACGGUGAAUACGUUCCCGGGCCUUGUACACACCGCCCGUCACACCAUGGGAGUGGGUUGCAAAAGAAGUAGGUAGCUUAACCUUCGGGAGGGCGCUUACC
rnacentral:rRNA from 1 species